rnacentral:rRNA from 1 species
GAUGAACGCUGGCGGCGUGCCUAAUACAUGCAAGUCGAGCGAACAGACGAGGAGCUUGCUCCUCUGACGUUAGCGGCGGACGGGUGAGUAACACGUGGAUAACCUACCUAUAAGACUGGGAUAACUUCGGGAAACCGGAGCUAUUACCGGAUAAUAUAUUGAACCGCAUGGUUCAAUAUUGAAAGACGGUUUUGCUGUCACUUAUAGAUGGAUCCGCGCCGCAUUAGCUAGUUGGUAAGGUAACGGCUUACCAAGGCGACGAUGCGUAGCCGACCUGAGAGGGUGAUCGGCCACACUGGAACUGAGACACGGUCCAGACUCCUACGGGAGGCAGCAGUAGGGAAUCUUCCGCAAUGGGCGAAAGCCUGACGGAGCAACGCCGCGUGAGUGAUGAAGGUCUUCGGAUCGUAAAACUCUGUUAUUAGGGAAGAACAAAUGUGUAAGUAACUAUGCACGUCUUGACGGUACCUAAUCAGAAAGCCACGGCUAACUACGUG